rnacentral:rRNA from 1 species
GUUCCGGGAUGAUCUAAGCAUGCGAGUCAUUGUAGCAAUACAAGGCAGACGGCUCAGUAACGCGUAGUCAAUCUACCCUAUGGACGGGAAUAACCUCGGGAAACUGAGAAUAAUACCCGACAGAACAUUAUACCUGGAACGGUUUAUGUUUCAAAUGAUUUAUCGCCGUAGGAUGGGACUGCGGCCUAUCAGUUUGUUGGUGAGGUAAUGGCCCACCAAGACUAUUACAGGUACGGGCUCUGAGAGGAGUAGCCCGGAGAUGGGUACUGAGACACGGACCCAGGCCCUAUGGGGCGCAGCAGGCGAGAAAACUUUGCAAUGUGCGAAAGCACGACAAGGUUAAUCCGAGUGGUUUCUGCUAAAGAAACCUUUUGCUAGUCCUAGAAACACUAGUGAAUAAGGGGUGGGCAAGUUCUGGUGUCAGCCGCCGCGGUAAAACCAGCACCUCAAGUGGUCAGGAUGAUUAUUGGGCCUAAAGCAUCCGUAGCUCGUUUUGUAAGUUUUCGGUUAAAUCCAUACGCUUAACGUAUGGGCUGCCGGGAAUACUGCAUAACUAGGAAGUGGGAGAGGUAGACGGUACUCGGUAGGAAGGGGUAAAAUCCUUUGAUCUAUUGAUGACCACCUGUGGCGAAGGCGGUCUACCAGAACACGUUCGACGGUGAGGGAUGAAAGCUGGGGGAGCAAACCGGAUUAGAUACCCGGGUAGUCCCAGCUGUAAACUAUGCAAACUCAGUGAUGCAUUGGCUUGUGGCCAAUGCAGUGCUGCAGGGAAGCCGUUAAGUUUGCCGCCUGGGAAGUACGUACGCAAGUAUGAAACUUAAAGGAAUUGGCGGGGGAGCACCACAAGGGGUGAAGCCUGCGGUUCAAUUGGAGUCAACGCCGGG